GCACCGAGAGGGGACUCCGUUAAUGUGUGUAACUGUCCAAAGGUUUCUCCGGGCUCUGCUCGGUGCUCCGCAGCAUGGGACAAAGAGGCGAUGGACAGGAACUGAUGCCCAGGAGGUUCUGCCAUGAAGAACUUCCUCGCUGUGCACUGGCUGACCACGGACCGGAUCGCAAGGGGAGGGUGUGGAGUCUGCCUCGCUGGGAUGCUCCGGAGCUGUCUGGACACGGUGCUGUGCUCUGGAUGACUCGGCUUGAGCAGGGAGGCUGGACCAGAGGAGCCGCUGUGGUCCCUUCCAGCCCUACCCAUGAGAGUGUGUUUGAGAUGAGCGUGCCCAGCACGGCCCGGUUUGGGGCUGGGCCCAGUGCGGUGACCAGGGCAGGAAGGGCUCGGUGGAGUGCCUGGGAGUGUGAGGUGCCAGCCUUGCACUGCUGGAGGCUGUUCCGACUUCUUUUUUCAUGGCUAAAAGGUCUUUCGGUUUUUGUUAGGAAAUAUCAAAUUAACCCAAUCUAAUAAACCCUAAUAAGACCUCAUGGGGUCCAGCUGACUUUUCAUAGGCACUUUAAUGUGAACUCUACAAAAUACCUCUGUUCUUGUUCCACAGGUAAAACGUGUCAGUGUCAGGUUGAACAUUAGGAGGAAUUUUUUCACAGAAAGGGUUGUCAGGCGUUAGAAUCAGCUGCCCAGGGUAGUGGUGGAGUCACCAUCCCUGGAGGUUUUUAACAAAGGACUGAUUUGGCCCUUGGUGCUGUGCUGUAUUUGACAAGGCGGUGAUCAGUCCCGGGUUGGACUUGAAUAUCUCAGUGCUUUGUUCCUAAAUGAUUCUGUGAAACCUGAGAGUUAAUGCCAAACCUGAGACACCAAACUCAGGCCCUCUUGGGGGAUGGAACAGAAGAGCAAAGCCCAUAAACCUUUAUGUCCAUCACAUGGACUUAAAAUCUGACAUGAGUUCACAGUCUGAGCAGAGGUUUCAUGAAAGUGAGUCCCAGCAGCCAGACCUGUGAAGAUUGUUCCAUCCAUCAGGAAUGACUUGGGGGCUGGUGUGGAUACAGGUGUACCAUGUCUACAGUCUGAAGCAAAGCCAACAGUCAGAGGGCCUGGUCUUUGCUAUGUGCCUCAGCUGAACAUUUCCUUGUCUGUUUCUGUUGAGUGCACACUUUGGAUAAUCCACCUAUGAGUAAUAGAGAGUUAAGCAAAUAGCUCACACAAAUUGUCCACUUACAAUCAUGGUUUGAAAAAAAAAUGCUGAAAUUGAGUGGUGGCUGAGAUACCCUUGCAAUUUUACAACAGUUCAUAUUAAAUUCACCUAUAUUGAAGCAUGCAGAGUUAGCAUUAUAUGGAGGCAUUAUUUAUGCUGAACAUUAUUUAUUCAGUGGUUUAUGAUGAAAUAGUUGGAUAAACACUUAAAUCCUCAUCUUCCAGUUCAGGAUGUGUGUGGGAACAAAGGAAAAUGCUCCUGUCAAGGCUUAGAACCUACACUCCCAAACAUGUUUUUUAAAAAAUCAGGACUGAACAACUCCUUUAUUGGAAUUUAAUCAGCAAAUAAAUUAUAUGUCUAAUGGAGAAAAAAUCUGCAAUUUCAUAAAACUGAGGUGCUAGAAAAGUCUGAAAUUGAACACUUUUGUCUUUGUCAUGACAAUUUAAGUAAUGUAAUAUGUUUCAAUAAAGAAUCUGGAGAUGCUAUUUUUGAUAGCAUUGAGCAAUAAUGGUACCAGUAUUAACCCAGGUAUUGCUGUGUGCUUGUUCUUUCAGAAUAUUAUAUACUGACUUAGGUGUUAUGAUGGAGGAACUAUAAUUUCAUUUUUAGUUUCAUGACUGUGGUUCAGUGAGCACAGCGUUCCCUAUUCAUACAGACUAUUAUGGCUGUCUGCAUUAGGUUUAUAUAUAUAGCAGGUAUAUAAGCUUUCAGAUAAUGUCUGUGAAUUGCAUGCAAGGCUGUCAUUUAAUGCUAUGAGGAGCAUUUUCACUGCUUAAUAUAAAUAAUGCAGAACCUGCUUUACUAUAUUUUUUAUUGUUUAGAUUUAGGGGAAAACCACUGCACACUGUGGAGUAGUCACCAAGACUUUAUUUUUUUUUUUUUGUAUCUCUGUUGCAGAACAUACCUGACCUUUAAGGAAUGAGGAGAAAAGAUAGAUUCAUUGUCUUCACAUCCAGUUUCCUUCUGUGUAUGUGUGAGCCAAAGCAAAUUUAGAUGAAACAGGUCUCUGAAGCAAUUAGAGCAAGCAAGAGCCGGAUUUUUUGGAUCAAGGAGUACAAGAUAUGUUGGUGGCUGCAGUUCCCAUAUGGAAGAAUAAAGGCAAGAUGGCACUGCCAAAAGAGAAAUUGCUUGGAUGUUGGUAGAAAAAGCUUUGCUUUCUGGUGUUCUGUGUGUCCUGCACCGUCAUCUGUAAACAGGAACACUGGGAUUGUUUUAGUGCAUACAAGCAAGUUUGCAAUCAAAAUUCUACCCCAAGAAGCAUUUUUAAGCUACCAGUCUGUGCUUCAGAAAAUGCUGAAUUUUUUCUUUAGAAAAUGAGUGAAAACCAGUUCAUUAGCAACAAGUGCCAUAGGAGACAAGGUUGCCAUCCUGGCUUCAUCCAGCUCAUCCAUCAUUUCAUGGCCACAGUGUUUCAAAGCUCUGUGGCUGCAGAGACUUCUGCCACUGCAAUGACACCCGAACGAGCAUCCAGUCUUAAGGCACUUCCUCUCAGUUGUUGAAGUAAGCUGAAAUUUUCAUCAGGGAGCUAUUGCUUCUCAUUUAUAAAGGAAAACAUCGGCUAUUAUGGUAAUAAUACAGAAAGCCUCAUUAAUUACAGCACACAAUAAAGAAUAAAGCAAGUGUAAAGAAGCCAAGCAGAUGGUGCAUUAUAAUCAGACUUUUUAAACAGUAACCUUCACAGCAGGGAAUGCUGUAGGUAAGAGUGCAACUUAACUUUCAUUAGAACAUUUUUAUUUCUAUGUUUAGGACAUAAGUGUAUAUCCAGAUAUGGUUUUUGCUGAAAGUUGAAUUAUUCUGGAAAGCCUGAGAAAAACAAAAAGCAAUACAAUUUCUUUCUAAUUACAGAGAUUAUAGAAUAUGAAGUGGGGGAGAAGGGGAAAUGCUGUAAAGUUUUUACUGAUUUCUGUCAUUUCUUCUGCAGUUUUGAAACAUACUGUAAAGAAAAAUAUUUAAAAAACUUUUUAGGAAGAGACGAAAAUAGGGGCAGCUGUAGCUCUCUAUUUUGGGAGUGUGGAGUUGGGGAAGAGGAGGCUUAGAGAGCAUUGCAUAAAACUAGGAGCUUUGAGGUACCAUUUUGCCCAAAGGGAGGGAAGAGGAGGGUGAGAAAAUACUGCUAUAGGUUAGUGGCAGUUUUAAGAGACAAACCUAGCAAAGAUUCCUCCUCCCAUAUCCAGCAUUCCUGUGUGCCCAGGAAAUGAAAAUGUAACCUGUCAGUUGCCCUUGCAAGUAUUCAGAAAAUAGCUGUAGUAGAAACCUGUAAAAUAUUUUAUUAGAUAAAUGAUACCCAGACAUUUGUACAUACCAUAAAACAAGCAAAACUAAACCUAUGAGGUGCAAGACUUCAAUUCCCAUACAAUAACUUAUUAGGAGGAUUCCUUUUAUUGAAUGAAAUGAAUGCUAAGGAAAAGCCUCUCUCUGCUUCAGCACAGCAGUAAAGAACAUUGUUCACCUCUGCUGGGUAACUGAAGUGUCCAGCCCCAGGAGCAGCAGCAGCUCAGAAAGCACUCUGUGUCCACACCUGCAGCCUCUUGGGCUGUCCAAACUCAGCCUGCAUGCAAAUCCCAUCUGCCUUGGCUGACGCUGCAGUGGGAGCAACAUCAA